rnacentral:lncRNA from 1 species
AGGCCUUGUUGAUCUCAGAGAAAGGUACACGGUGUGUGAUGAACUUUUCCAACUCUAGCUCCUGCACCAUCAAACCAAAUUUUCAAAAAAAGAUCAGGAGAGUCCAAUUGCAGGCACAUUUCUAAAGGACUAAUCAUGACUGCUGAAUAAUUGUUGAUAAGCUUCUGAAUUUCCAUUCAUCGAUACCUCUGCAUAACUUUGGUAGUUGUACCAUAAGAAAGAUUGUUUUUUAACAGAGUGCAAACACAUUAAGCAUGAGAAAUCAAAACCAUGUAUUUACCUUGUUCAUAUACUUCUCCACAACCGAAGGAAGGUCAGUGCGUGGUUUAUAGUUUCCGAAGAAGGUUCCCUUAAGAGUCCUUUCAUUCAGAAAGUUCAUAGGGUGGGUCUUGAAUUGGGCUUCUUUGUGAGGCACCCCAACCAGCACAGCAACACCCCAACCCUAACAUUCAAGGUCACAUUUUUAGCACAUCAUAAUAAUACCAAAACAAAUUAUUAGUGCACAAGGCUUUUGAACUGCUUGUAAUGGGAGUCGGAAGAUACAUCGUGAACACAUUCGAAUGCAGAUAUCAUGGCAUUUGUGUUACCGCUGCAUUCAACGCUCCUAUCAACUCCACCGCCAGUCAUUUCAGCAAGCACCUGAAAAAUUGCCAUUGCAUACUAGUUGUUUUGGCAGUAUAGCUGGUAUUCAAAACACCUAAUUUAACUUGCAAUAUAUUACCAGCACCAUAAUUCAUUUUUCAGAAUAUGAAAGUUUAGUAUUGAUCAAACCUCUUGGACUGGCCUGUCAUACUCCAUUGGAUUCACAAACUCAGUGAUGCCGAACUUCUUUGCUGGUGGCACAAAGGGGGACUUUUAGCACCAAAUUUUGAAUAAGUUCAGUAGAAAUCAGAUGUCAACAGAUAAGACUAUGAAUGGAAAUAUAGAAUACCGCAUAGUUAGGAAGAAAAACAUGCUAGAAUUUUGCUGCUCAUGUCAAUAAAGGUUAAAUCGGCCCUGUACUAGUUUUGUUGAUAUGGUAAGACAUAUGCUAUAAUCAAAGGAAGCAGCUCUUCACCUUCGUCAAAUUUUGCAGGAUUUCUAUCAACACCAAUAAUCCUUGAUGCUCCUGCAAUCCUGGCCCCUUCAGCAGCCUAUUAAUAUGAAGGCAUAAAUCAAAUAUAACUGUUUGCCUAAUAUUUGUUUGAUAAAUCAAAUAUAAAUAAAAUUAAAACAAUACUAAAUGGAGAUGAUGUAUCAUGAAGCAUGAACCAGAGGACCAUGCAACCACACAUUUAGAGCUCUAUAAAUCAGAUAACUGAAAUAGGAAAGAUACUUACAGCAAGGCCUACAGCACCCAAUCCAAAAAUUGCCACUGUUGAACCCUUUGGUGGUUUUGCAACAUUAAGAGUUGCACCAAGACCUUGGAAAGAAAACAAUAUGGGGAAUUUCAUGUGUCUGUUUCGGAAAUUCUAUAUACAUGACAAUCUUGGUGUCUCACCUGUUGAAAUGCCACAGCUAAGAACACAAACUUUAUCAAGGGGAGCCAGGGGGUCAAUCUUGGCAACACAGCCCGAGUGGACGACUGUGUAUUCACUGAAAGUGGAGGUUCCUAGAAAAUUAUAAAUUGGUUUUCCAUUGAUAGAGAACCUGGACUGCCCAUCACUGAUCAUCACCCCUCUCUCAGUGUUAAUCCUAAGGAGAUCACACAUAUUGCUCUGCUCAUGCUUACAGUGAGUGCACUCCUUACAUUCUCCAGUGAAUACAGGGAGGACAUGGUCUCCUGGUGCAAGAUCUGUUACGCCUUCACCAACACUCUCCACAAUCCUAUUAUCACCAUAUGAUGAAAAAGAAAAACGAAUAAAUAUACUGAAUAGAAAAAGUUCAUUAAAUUAGCAUUAUGGAUGAAAGAAAACUGGUGGUUCCCUGCGAACAGAAUUUAUUUACCAAUCUUAAAAAGAAAAGAUCUCAAUUAAAAGAUUUCAGAAACUACUAAUGGUUGCAGAAAUAUAAGACUAUUAUGAGUGUUGCUCAAUUUGGUAUAGAGCUUUCAAUCUAUCAUGACCUUGUCAUUAAGUCAAAUGUAUCAUGCAUCAAAGUGGCAAUGGAGAGCAACACCUUUAACGAAGCAGAUGAACUACCAUUAAUCUCUUUGCAACUAUAAUCUUUUUAAAAAAGAGGAGGGAAAUAGAGACCAUGUUUAGCAUGAUAUAUUGGUCAUAUGAGUUGCAUGGGUAUUAAUUGAGAUCACUUUGGUUCUCUAAAUUUGAAUUCUUAUCUAAGAAAUCAUUAAACAAAGCAAACUGAAUAAGAACAGUUACCAACAAACAGAUUUGCUCAAAAAUAAGACUAUAGAAGCCAUACCCUCCUGCUUCAUGGCCAAAGAUUCGAGGAAACAGGGGAGUUUGGCCCUGCAAAUUAUAAAACAAACAGAAUUGUAGAAUUUUAACAAACUGUCAUGAACACACAGAAAAUAAAGCUGAUAGGGAUAUAUGCGCAACAUAUUUCCUCUCCCUCUUUCAUUUAAAUGUGAAGUGGCAGAGGAACUUCUUGUGAAGAAAAAGAAUCCUGGUUUUUUAUAAUAUAUGUGAAUAAAAAUACCUUGGCUUCCCAGAAGUACACAUCAGUGUGGCAGAGGGAAGUGUAGAGGAUCUUCAUCCGGACCUCCAUUUCUUUUGGAGGUGCAACCUUGACCUGUUCCAUCACUAAUGGCUUCCCGGCCUCCCAUGCAACCGCCGCUGUAUAUGAAACCAAAAUUAAUAAUGCAAAGCAAAGACAAGUAUAAUUAAUCAAUUGUUUCCAACUAUAUUUUUUCUAAGAAGAAAUUGUUCUGGCAGUAUAUUAGUUUCUUUGAGUAAGAAAACAUAAACAUCUACCAGAAGUUACUAGGACUGCAAGGGGAUUGAUGGACCAUUUCUGAUUCAGAGUUGGCACAAAAGAAAGAAUUUAGGUUGACUGUAACUGCAAUAUGUGGAGGGGUUGUGCAUUGUAGAAGAGGAUGGAUUCUUUGAUGAAGAGAUAUGGUGCUCAUCCAACAAAUACUAAAUCAGAGUAUGCGGUAAAUCUAAGUUGAUGUCAUUUAAAUCACCCUCCAAAAUGAUCAACCAUAUCAAAUAUGGUUUCAAUAUGAAUCAUUUUAAGAUCCAGUCAAGACAUGAAUGGAAGUAACAUGAAGGUGGUGGAAGUAGUGUAGCAUUGAAACUGUCUACUGCUAAUCAUUUAUAGAAGAAUAUUACUCACUGGAAAUAGACGACCACUGCUUUUUUUUUUCUUUUUUGGUAGAAAAGGCUAGUAGACAGGGAUUUAGAUCCUAGCGGGACGUCCUACGGGAUAUUGGGAUAUCAUCCCAUAUGUCAAGACAGGAUGUCCCACUAACGUCCUAGAAUCCCAAUCGGGACAUCUUGAGACAUCCUACUAUAUCCCAAGUGUUGGGAUGGGAUGGGACAGGACGGUGGCGCAUCCCAUUUUAUAAAAAAAUUGGGACAGCCCUGUCUUAUAAGAUUUAAAACCUUGCUAGUAGGUAAUAAGCCACAAAACAGGAACAAAGAGCCAAAAAAAAUUACAAGUGUCAUGACCCCUAAACUCAUUGAAGGCAAGAUUUGAGCCAAGUUUCUGGCACAUCUUCCAAGAAAUUUUACCAAGUUACUGGGCAAGCACAUUUGAUGAUCACAUUUGAAAAGGGAGAAGUUCUGUAACAAUCUUGAAAAAAAUAUCAUAUCAAAUUCCUGCAAAAAAUUAACUCGACAAAAACCAUGACUUUAUUGAAGAUUAGUUCAUAGUCUCUAAUUUUGACAAAAGAUUCCACUAGUCAAAGAUCUUCUAACUACAGAACUGCGAACAAAAUCUAAAACAAAACUAAGCAUAGCAUAGGCACAUAAACACAAAAUGACACCAUACCAAAAAUUUUAAUUAGAUUCCUUUAAUGUGCCUAAAAGGCUACCUCGGCAUUGUAUGACCUGACCAGCUCUGCUUUCAAUCUCUUCCACCUUGCGGAUUUUGGGUUGUACGGUCCUAAAUCCCCUGCAAUCAUGAACUUAAGAAAAGAAAAAAAAUGACUUUAGAAAAUUACAAGAGAACCUAAUAUUAGCAAAAAAAGAAACAGAGCAGAGAACAAAAUCAAAUCUUUAAGAGGGAGGGAGUAUCUGCAUAGGAAAGUAAAAAAAAACAAAACAAAACAAACCAUACCAACCUAUCCAACAGUAGAACUUUCAAAAAUGAUCCCAAAGAAGAAAACUAAGUGGAGAUAUCAUUGAAGAGUUUAUAAACACAAGUAUAGAAGGCUACAAACCUUGGCAUCUUAUGACUUGACUAUCUCUGCUCAUAAUCUGUUCCCCCCUGUGGAUUUUGGGAAGCAAGACAGGAAAUACGCUCCGAUGAAUAACUACAAAAAAAAAAAAAUAGUAACUUUAGAAAUUAACCAGAGUGCCUCUAAUAUUAAGAAAAGAAAAAUCAACCCAAUACAAAGGAAGAUUCAAAAAACAGAGCAUAGAGGCAUUAAAAGAAAAAAGAAGAUCAAACCAUCCCAUUCUAUCCAAAAUCAUAGCUUCCAAAAUGAAACAUGGUGGAUUUGAAAGGCUACAAACCUCCUCGUCUCAUCAAAUGACCAACUGCCAUCGCCAUCUCUGAAAUUCCUCCUCAAAUGCCCUUGGAAAGAUCAGUUUGUAUGCAACAAAACAAUGGAACCGAGCAAAAUGAUGUAGAGAGAAGGAGGUAUUUAUAAACAGAGAGAGAGAGAGAGUUCAAAGACUGCCCACAGAGAAAGCGAGAGGGUUCAAAGAAUCCAGCGCUCGAAAAGCCGGUGGGCGACGCCGGGCGUUGGUUGCGGUGUUCGCUUCUUGUUAACCGGAGACGUUGAGUAAGACGACGCGUUUUGGAGGUUGUAGUUGUUAGUAAACGGGGUUUUGGUUGUCUUUAUUCGUAGAGGAAUAGCUUUACACCUUGGUUGGAAGAGAAAAAUGGGAGAGCAGAGCAAAGAAAAGAAGAGCUAGUCAAUACUUUUCUCUUGGUUGAAAUUUUUUUCAUUGAAAAAAUAAAAACAAAAAUAAGGGAGAUACAAAUCCUCUCAAACUUGCCAAUUUUUCUCUUUCAAAUUGAAUGGAUUAAAAAAAAAUAAAAAUUUAAUAAUUUUUUUAUAAUUUCUAUCUUAUCUCUCUAAUAAUAUAAAAUUAAAUUAAUAAAUUUUAUUACGAUACUUCAAAAGAUAGUUUAAUUUUUUUAUAAUUAAUUUAUUUUUAGCUGUCAGAUUAAAGAUGGAUAAUUUAAAUUUCUCCAUCAAGAAUCAGUUGAAGCACCAGAUAUGCAUGACUGGUGCAGUAAAUACUCUAAAGAUCAUUGUUAAAUUGAAUGUCAUUUUUUUUCUAAAAACCUUCUCGCCACCCCUCCUCUCCCGAAUCAUGAUUUUUCGACGGGGUGGGUGGUGAAGUUGGAGAAGGCUCGAGGAGGAGGAGUUGGAGGGGUGUGCACCGAGGCAGAGGAGGGGUGGGGUAGGGUGGCGAUGUCAUCACCAAGGGUGGAGGAAGAGGAGAGGGAGGAGUGAGGCGUCGGUUUUACACCGAGAGUGAAGGAAAGAAGAGAGGGGGGGGGGCAGUGGAGAAGAAGAAAGAAAAGAGAAGGAGGCUGCGGUGGAGAAGAAGAAAGGAGAGAAGGUGGGGGGCACGAUACAAGCAGGCAGCCCGAUCAUGGGAGGGGGGCACGAUACAAAUAGGCAGACCGAUCGUGGGAGGGGGGGCAUGUGCAUGGGGGGCAGAGAGGGGGAGGCAUGGCAGGGAGGUGGCGUGGUUGGCGAUGGGGGGAGUGGCCUGUUACGGAGAAGAAGAAAGAGCAGAAAGACGGCGUGGUCGCGGGAGGGGGACAGCCUGAAGUGGAGAAAAGAAAGAGCAGAAAGAUGACGCAAUCGCUGGGAGGUAGCUGGCAUGAGUGUCAAGGGAAGGGGGAAAGACCAUCAGGGAGGCGGGCGGCGGGGAGGCAUGCAGGAGGUGGCGGGUGGCGGCGGGAAGAAGCGAAGAAGAAGAUGGAGGAGGAUAAAAAAUAAUAAAAUAUAAAUAAAUGAUAAUAAUUUAAUAUUUUAAAUAUUUUUCAUAAUAAAAAAUUAUUAAAAGAUACUGUAGCAAAACCUCCAAAUUAACAUUACAUUUCUUACAAUGAUAAGGACCUUAGAUUUCUUCAUAUGCCAACGGCUUUCAGCAGUUAUUUCUUAAUGCAAUCCAAGCGUAAGUUCAUGAACCUUACGGGUAAAAUAAAUCAAUAGUGAUUGUUUCAGGAGUGUAGAAGGGAAACCUUGUGAGGAUAUCACCUGGUUCGUUUAGAUCGACUGUCUUUGGUGUGUGACUUUGUAUUUCAGAGGUCAUUGCAUUCUCUUUUUUCUAUUUAUAUAGAUGGUUGGAAAGGUACUAACUACUAAGUCCAUUUGUCUUAUGAAUUCUAGAGACUGUAGUUAUAAAAAAGAGCAUGAGUGGUCAAGAAAUUCUAAGAUUUUGUGGCUAUGCAUGAUGCUUUCUUCUCAUGAAUUGCUGAAUUUCUAUUUUAUAACCACAAACUAUUUGAAUCAAAAUAUUUAGAAUUUCUUAUGAAUUGCUGACAUCAUCGAUCGAUCAAAAAUCUAAACUUGGGAGUGUAAAACUAUAUUUACAAUACUUAACAAAAUUUCAAAGACUUGGUGCUUCCAAUGCAAACUGUUUUGGAUCUCAACCGAAGUAGUUGUAGUUUCUCAAAUCUGAUUUUUUUUUUUUUGCUAAAACAAAACAGAAAUUGGAUGGGGACGAUCCGGCGCAUCUACCUCCUCUGAGCAUGACUAUAGAACUCCAACCCUCCACUGCAGAAUUUUGAUUUGGGAUUGAGUUUAAAGGAAUAGGCGGCCUUCUCUCUACCAUUUGGGCAAAUCCAACAGAUGAGUACAUCAUCCCAGUACCACUGAAAGCCAAUGGAUCAGAUGUCGUGUCAGGCGUCAUAUUCGGACCGUCAAAAUACGCUCCAUUCGAUAGUCAUUCAUGUUGUAGUAUUUAAUCACAGUCUGAUAUCCAUCAUGAUUUGAAUUCGGAUUACAUCAUUGGAAAUUUAUGUUUUCAGAUGCUGUUGGUUUACUUUUACAGAUUCAACUUGCUUAGAAGGAUGGAUUAAAUUCACUUCGACAAGUCAAAUCAGUGUUAGGUUAUCGAUUUUUUCUUCUUUUGAGAUGAUGCAUGUUAGGGUCAGAACUGCUCGUGGACACCUUAUUGACACUAAAAGGCAAGAUUAAUUGAAUUUGUAUAAAAAAAAAAAUCUAGUUUUGAUCAUACGUGGCCUUACAUGGAGGAAGGACACCUCUGAAUUUAUCAAUGUAUUCUUAUUUUUUUUGUUCUGAAAAUAUAUGUAUGUAUGUGUGUGUGUGUAUAUAUAUAUAUAUAUACACACACACAUGCGUGCGCACGCACAUGCAUAUAUUUUAGCCGAUCUGAACUAGUUUAGGAUUAAGCUGAGUUGAGUUGGGUUCUAGAAAUAUAACUUAUAUGCAGGAGAUAAUCUAGAAUUUUCACAUUAAAGCUUUGUAUUAAGAAUUUAUCUUUAAUAGAAUCUGCCCAACAAUUAAUGGGUAGUGGACCUACUUGUUGGGGGGGUGGAAUUGAGCGCAACAUCUUUGUUGGCAAUAACUGUUUCAUCAAUGUACUCAGCUCUUGAUAAUUUAAGAAGAAGCAUGUUGGACAAAUAUGUGCAUGUAGGUGAUGGAUUUUUGCCAACAUAUGCUGACUCCCAAAAUCCUUUCCCACUUCACUUGAGUCACAAUUGGUGCCUCUCAAAUCUUAACAUACAAUUCGAUGUUUAAUUCUCCGACGCUUUGCUACUGAGCUAUGGGGGCAUUUUUAUUAAAGUUUUGUACAUCAUAAAUUUACACCGAUGAUGGGGUGGGAUAGAGUAAAGAGGAAAGAGGGUCCUGCAAUCUCUCUCAAACUAACAACUAGGUACUUGAAUGGUGAAUUAUAAAUGACUUGGAUUAUAGAGGGACCUUCUGUAGAAUUUCUAGUUCUGUUCUACAACUAUGAUUGUGUUGCCUAUCAAGAGGGCAAAGUUAAAUAUUGAUCUUGCUUCCUUCUCGAAGAUGGCAUGCAUCUCAAACCAGGACCAAUAAAAUUUGUUAUACAUAAACAAAUUUAAUAACUAGAAUAUUAGAAUUUGUUGGUAUAAAAUUUAGUGAAAAAUGAAAUGAGAUUGGUAAAAAGAAUGUCAUAUAUGUAAAAUAACCAUAUAAAAAAACAUUUGUCUAACUCAGCCCAUGGAACUUGGAUCAGCUGAUUGCCACCCUCUCCACAAUGCAUGUGCUAAAGAGAGAGGCAAAGGGUGAACUUGAAAGGUAGCCUUUCACUGUCAUCAAAACGAAAAGGGCCCCCCUGCAACAAUCCCUGCUUAACACCUUGCGCUAACAUGAUGUUCACAAAUUAGCCAAAUAAUUAAAGGGUCAGGGAAUUGAAGGAAAUCUAGCAAAACUCAAAAAUAUAAAAUCUAACUUUUUUCUUUUGAUAAGAUGAAGAGAGUGGAAAUUAGAGGUUGUUUUUUUUUUUUUCAUAUACCUCUUUUGAUAGGAGGAAAAGUGUAGAAGUUAGACACCACUAAAGGAUGAAAAGCAGUAUUUGUUGUUCUAAUUUGGUGGUCAUGGGGCUGAGACUUGUGCAUAUCCUUCCUAGAGCGGGUACCACUCUCCGUUUGCUCUUCCAGUUGGUGAGAUAGGAGAUGAAACAGGGUGAUGUCUUCUAUUUGCUCUAAGGAAGGUAGGUUCCACGAAAUUUAUAAGACAAAAUUAAGUAGUUUGUUUUGGUAAAUCAUAUUUACCAAAAUAAACUACUAAAUUUUAAGUAGUUUUUAAUAGAAUUAAGUAGUUUUUAAGUCAACUUACCAACUUGGUUUCAUAGUAAAUGCAAUCUUUCCUCAAGAAAUCCAAGUUGCAGACAUUACAUCACAAAAUUUUCUGCAAGAUAUAGCAGAAAAGAUAACAUACCGAGCUCAUCUUUCAAUCAAACCUUUCUGCUAUUUCUUCUUAACCAAAAGGAAAGCUUAUAAUCAAUAUGGAACAAGACAUGUUUUAUUUUCUCAUAACUUCCUCUCCAGAGUAGCUUCAAGGAAGUGUAGUUCUGCUCUAACCAUCCAUGUGAAUGAUGCAACGAAGGCCAUCUCCUUUGAGCAUGUAGUCAAAGGCCUUGUUGAUCUCAGAGAAAGGUACACUGUGUGUGAUGAACUUUUCCAACUCUAGCUCCUGCACCAUGGAACCAAAUUUUCAAAAAAAGAUCAGGAGAGUCCAAUUGCAGGCACAUUUCUAAAGGACUAAUCAUGACUGCUGAAUAAUUGUCGAUAAGCUUCUGAAUUUCCAUUCAUCAAUACCUCUGCAUAAUUUAGCUAGUUGUACCAUAAGAAAGAUUGUUUUUUAACAGAGUGCAAAGCAUGAGAAAUCAAAACCAUGUAUUUACCUUGUUCAUAUACUUCUCCACAACCAAAGGAAGGUCAGUGCGUGGUUUAUAGUUUCCGAAGAAGGUUCCCUUAAGAGUCCUUUCAGUCAGAAAGUUUAUAGGGUGGGUCUUGAAUUGGGCUUCUUUGUGAGGCACCCCAACCAGCACAGCAACACCCCAACCCUGACAUUCAAGGUCACAUUUUUAGCAUAUCAUAAUAAUACCGAAACAAAUUAUUAGUGCACAAGGCUCUUGAACUGCUUGUAAAGGGAGUCGGAAGAUACAUCGUGAACACAUUCGAAUGCAGAUAUCAUGGCAUUUACGUUACCAGUGCAUUCAACGCUCCUAUCAACUCCACCGCCAGUCAUUUCAGCAAGCACCUGAAAAAUUGCCAUCGCAUACUAGUUGUUUUGGCAAUAUAGCUGGUAUUCAAAACACCUAAUUUAACUUGCAAUAUAUUACUAGCACCAUAAUUCAUUUGCCAGAAUAUGAAAGUUUAGUAUUGAUCAAACCUCUUGGACUGGCCUGUCAUAGUCCAUUGGAUUCACAAACUCAGUGACGCCGAACUUCUUUGCUGGUGGCACGAAGGGGGAUUUUUAGCACCAAAUUUUGAAUAAGUUCAGUAGAAAUCAGAUGUCAACAGAUUAGACUAUGAAUAGAAAUAUAGAAUACCGCAUAGUUUUGAAGAAAAACAUGCCAGAAGUUUGGUGCUUAUGUCAAUAAAGGUUAAAUUGGCCCUACACUAGUUUUGUUGAUAUGGCAAGACAUUCUAUAAUCAAAGGAAGCAGCUCUUCACCUUCAUUAAAUUUUGUAGGAUUUCUAUCAACACCAAUAAUCCUUGAUGCUCCUGCAAUCCUGGCCCCUUCAGCAGCCUAUUAAUAUGAAGGCAUAAAUCAAAUAUAACUGUUUGCCUAAUCUUUGUUUGAUAAAUCAAAUAUAAAUAAAAUUAAAACAAUACUAAAUGGAGAUGAUGUAUCAUGAAGCAUGAACCAGAGGGCCAUGCAAGUACACAUUUAGAGCUCUAUAAAUUAGAUAACUGAAAUAGGAAAGAUACUCACAGCAAGGCCUACAGCACCCAAUCCAAAAAUUGCCACUGUUGAACCCUUUGGUGGUUUUGCAACAUUUAGAGUUGCACCAAGACCUUAGAAAGAAAACAAUAUGGGGAAUUUCAUGUGUCUGUUUUGGACAUUCUGUAUACAUGACAAUCUUGGUGUCUCACCUGUUGAAAUGCCACAGCUAAGAACACAAACUUUAUCAAGGGGAGCCAGGGGGUCAAUCUUGGCAACACAGCCUGAGUGGACGACAGUGUACUCACUGAAAGUGGAGGUUCCUAGAAAAUGAUAAAUUGGUUCUCCAUUGAUAGAGAACCUGGAUUGCCCAUCACUGAUCAUCACCCCUCUUUCGGUGUUAAUCCUAAGGAGAUCACACAUAUUGCUCUCCUCAUGCUUACAGUGAGCACACUCCUUACAUUCACCAGUGAAUACAGGGAGCACAUGGUCUCCUGGUGCAAGAUCUGUUACGCCUUCACCAACACUCUCCACAAUCCUAAUAUCACCAUAUGAUGAAAAAGAAAAAUGAAUAAAUAUACUGAAUAGAAAAAGUUUAUUAAAUUAGCAUUCUGGAUGAAAGAAAACUGGUGGUUCCCUGUGAACAGAAUUUAUUUACCAAUCUUUAAAAAAAGAUCUCAAUUAAAAGCUUUCAGAAACUAAUAAUGGUUGCAGAAAUAUAAGACCAUUAUGAGUGUUGCUCAAUUUGGUAUCAAGCUUUCAAUCUACCAUGACCUUGUCAUUAAGUCAAAUGUCUCAUGUAUCAAAGUGGCAACAGAGAGCAACACCUUUAAUCAAGCAGAUGAACUUCUAUUAAUCCCUUUGCAACUAUAAUCUUUUUAAAAAAGAGGAGGGAAAUAGAGACCAGGUUUAGCAUGCUAUAUUGGUCGUAUGAGUUGCAUGGGUAUUAAUUGAGAUCACUUUGGUUGUAUAAAUUUGAAAUCUCAUCUAAGAAAUCAUUAAAGAAAGCAACCUAAAUAAGAACAGUUACUGACAAACAGAUUUAUGCAAAAAUAAGACUAUGGAAGCCAUACCCUCCUGCUUCAUGGCCAAAGAUUCGAGGAAACAAGGGAGUUUGGCCCUGCAAAUUAUAAAACAAACAGAAUUGUAGAAUCUUAACAAACUGUCAUGAACACAGAAAAUAAAGCUGAUAGAGCUAUAUGACCAACAUAUUUGCUCUCUCUCUUUCAUUUAAAUGUUAAGUGGCAGGCAGAGGAAAUUCUUGUGAAGAAAAAGAAUACUGGUUUUUAUAAUAUAUGUGAAUAAAAAUACCUUGGCUUCCCAGAAGUACACAUCAGUGUGGCAGAGGGAAGUGUAGAGGAUCUUCAGCCGGACCUCCAUUUCUUUUGGAGGUGCAACCUCGACCUCCUCGAUCACUAAUGGCUUCCCAGCCUCCCAUGCAACUGCCGCUGUAUAUGAAACAAAAAUUAAUAAUGCAACGCAAAGACCAGUAUGAUAAAUCAAUUGUUUCUAACUAUUUUUUCUAAGAAGAAAUUGUUCUGGCAGUAUAUUAAUUUCUUUGAUUAAGAAAACAUAAACAUCUACCAGAAGUUACUAGGACUGCAAGGGGAUUGAUGGAAUUGAAUUUUUUAGUAUAUUUUAUUUAUGAUGGAUUUUAGGUGAUUAUGAUUGACAAGCUUUGCGUUAUCGAGGGCAACAUCCUUCAGUAGCAUGAUCAUAUUAUGUCUUGGAUUUAGGACGUGACAUUUUAUGAUAUCAGAGUCUUAAUUAUGAUCACUUGUGACUGCGAUAUAAGUGAUUGGGACAUGAUAUAAGUAAUAUUAGAGCUUAGGUUAUGAUCAAUAGGGACUAUGACUUAAGUGAAAUUUAAGUAUAAAGUUAUGAUCAUUAAAAAUAUGAUAAAAGUAGCAGAAAGAAUUUGAAGUCUGAAUUUUGGAUCAAUAGGUACAGUGAUAAAAUUUAUGCAUAAGUGGUAUAUGAUGUGCAUAACGGAACUGAUGAGUUAUAUCUCAGAUUUGAAUAAGUAGGGUUUGACCUAAAUAUGAGAGGUGUUGACUCUGGAAUAAAGUGGGAUAUGUUGAUAUAUUAUAUUGAGUAUACUUGUUCAAAUGUUAUUUAGGUAAUUUUGGAAUUCUAAAUUUGAUAUGGGUGAAGAAUAUGAUGACUUUUCCAAUUUUGAUGUUAAUUAUUUAAUCAUUACAAUUUUGAGAUUAUUAGAAGAAGUUUAUUUAGGAUGUGGCCUCAGAAAGAAUUGCAUCAUACAAGAGAAUUGUUUUUUCCAGCAUUGAAUCUAUAAGAGGAUCAUGUAUUAAACUCGCAUGUAAAUGAAAAACAUAUUUGGUUUUAUUGACGAAUUGGAUUUUAUUAUGAGAGCAUGAUAUAUACAUUUUGAUGGAAUCUUUAAUAAUUUUUAUUACCAUCUUUGAAUUGGAUUACUUGAUCUUCUUUAUAUUUGUUGAGAUAGUGAGGUGUAUUAAUUAUUUUAAGUCAAAGUUUAGGUUUCCGAGUGGAUCUAAAGUAUCUUGCUAUUGUUACAUUUUUGGAAGACUUAUAUGAGUUUUAACAAAUAAAGAAUAAGUUUUAUAUCAGUUUAUUUAUUGAUGCGAAGGGUCAUGAUGAAGGAAGCUCUAUGAGAAAUAAUUGAGUUGAUUUCACUCACGACGAUAUUGACUUAAGGUCUUCUAAUUUGUUAAAGAUUUGAGUUAAAUGUUUUACAAAGAAAGAUUGGUUUGGAAUCAUCCCAUUGAUUGUCAAGCAAAUUUAGGAAUAACUCACUCCAAAUUAAUUCUAGAUGUAUUGAAUUCUAGAUGAGUGGUGAAAGCUUAUGCAAUGGUUUCAAAUAUAGAAAGUGGAUCAAAAUUUUAACUUUGAUGUGGUAUGCUCAAGACAUAGCAAGGACAAAGAAACUCAAAGUUUUGCUCUAGUUCUAUUUACAAAAAAAGAAGAAAGGUUGGAUCUUUCUUAGAUUCUAAUAUAAAGUGGUAUUUUUGAAUUCAUUCGAUAAACCUAUAAAUUCGAUAAGUUUAGAUCAGAGUGCACAGCAAAAGUGUGGUGGUUUGAACUGAUUAGGAACAUUAAUUCUUUGAUUCAAAAGAUAUUAUGAUGGAAGACAUUACUUUCCAAGUAAUAAAGGAUUUUAUUAAUAAUGAAAGGAUAUACUACUGAUUCUUGAUCUAAUCUGGACAUAAUCGUGCAAUUUUUGCUAAUAAGUUAUUCUAUUGUAGACAAUGCUAAGAAGAACCAGGGACAUCUUAAGUUAAAGUUAAUGGAUUGAUGGUUCUUUGGUUAGGCUUAGACCUAGAAUGUUGUGGCAUAAAUAUCCUUCUAACUUUGCCAUCGUUACUCUAUAUGGUUGUAGAACCUUGAGGUUUUUCUAAAAUAAAAGCCUAAUUGUUAAACAUGGAUGAUGCUAAGAGAAGAAAGAAGGCUGUCAAUACUCAAGCCUUCUACUAAGGAUAGAUUGGGCCAAUAGUACUUUUUGAGUGAAAUAAGUCAAAGCAAUGAAUUUUAAGGGCAAGCAAUUAUGAUAUCUUAAUCGAAGAUUGGGAGGCUAAUAUUCUUUUGAAAGAGAAUAAGAGAAUUUGAUAUGUAAUGUAAAAUGAAAGGAUUGAGUUUUGGGAGCACAAGGAUGACAUGAUGGAUGUGUACUUUUGAAGUUUGAGCCUGAAGAUAUGCCAAGUUUCGAGGAUGAAAUUUUUUUUUUAAGAGGAGUAGAAUGUGAUAUUCGGCCCUAAAUUUUUUCCUGCAUGAAUCUUAAGGUAGCUCCUCCCCCCCCCAAAAAAAAGAAAAGAAACAGCAAUGAAGACUCCCGAUAGGAGUUUUCUUCCCCAUUGAAUCUGGGUGAAAAUCGAUCUCCUAGAACUCUCCCUCUCCCUCGUAAGCAAGCCACGAUGAGCACCGGCCUUUCUCCCUCUUCUUCUCUCUCUUUUUUUCCUUUGAAAUCGUGGACUACCCUCACCGUGUUCGUCUAAGAUCAUCGCCAGAGAUGUUGCUAAAGCCCAAGGUAAGCCCCGGACCUCUUCCUCUCCUUCUUUCCAUGCCAUUGCGCAUGGCCGCCGGCCGUCGAACCUAUCAAAAGGGCCGCCAAAAGCAAAGACCUGUUUUCUCUGUUUUAAUCGAGCCUUAUUUUUUCUUUUUCUUGCCACCAACGCUGCCGCCUGCGGUGCCGCACUUCUGGAUCAUGACCCCCGACCUCCCUACCUUCCUCCUCAGAGGUUAUGAUCGUUGGUGAUCCAAGAAAGGGAUCGGAUCCCCUAUUUAUCAUAUUUUUUCAUGAUUUUCUUGACCGACCGGUCACCACCGCUGGCCUUCCACCAUUGCCCGUCGUCGGUCGCCUGCUGUCAAUCUUAUGGCCAUGAGCGAUCGGGCCCUUUGCUCCCCCAUUCGGCCAAAAAAAGGAAGAAAAAAAAAGAGAAGAAAAGAAAAGGAAAGAAAAACAAGAAAAGGAGAGGGAAGGGAUUUUUCUCUCUCUUGUGACUCUCUUUGCUCUAUCUUUCUCUUCCUAUCUAAUCCUUGGAUCCCAGUAUGAACUUAAGAUGAUCUUUUUAAAGUGAUCUGAAAUCACUUUGAUAUCCGUGCAGUAGGUCGGUUUUCAGUCCGACCCUUGUCAGAAAUUUAUAACAUUUGAUCACUGUUAACCCUUAUUGAGUCAUCCUGACAUGAUCCCUGAUGAUCUUGAUCAUGGAUUCCUUCUUUUGAGGAAUAUGAAGACUCUCUCUCCAUUUUUUCUCUAUAUUUUCUCUCUUCAUCCACUUUCUCUCUCUAAGAAGAUCUAGGAACUCCAGUAUCGAGUCAUACCUUCUUCUUCUAGAGAUCCGUGUUGAUCCGAUAAGAAGAUCCUGAAUCGCUUUGAUGCCUGGAUAGUCUAUUGGACUGAUCACCUGAUCAACGACUUUCUUUUAUUAUUUAAUUUUAUUGAAUUAAUUGAAUGAAAAUUGAUCAUAAUUUAACAUUUUAAAUAGCAUUAUCUGAUUCAUCUAACGAAGUCUAAAGAUCUAGGAUGAACGAGGUAAGUGGAUCAUAUGCUUCUUAUUUUUUUUAAAUUAUCAUAUUUUUCAUGCAAAUAAUUUGUUGUUGAUGAAAUCAUAUUUUUCAAAAAAUAAGGAUCGGCAUAUAUGAUAUGUAAAAGCAUGUUUUAUUAUGAUCAUUGAUUGCAUGAAUAUAUUUUAUAAAAAUAGCAUGUUUAUGAAGUAUAAANNNNNNNNNNNNNNNNNNNNGCAUUAUCUGAUUCAUCUAACGAAGUCUAAAGAUCUAGGAUGAACGAGGUAAGUGGAUCAUAUGCUUCUUAUUUUUUUUAAAUUAUCAUAUUUUUCAUGCAAAUAAUUUGUUGUUGAUGAAAUCAUAUUUUUCAAAAAAUAAGGAUCGGCAUAUAUGAUAUGUAAAAGCAUGUUUUAUUAUGAUCAUUGAUUGCAUGAAUAUAUUUUAUAAAAAUAGCAUGUUUAUGAAGUAUAAAUUUUAUUGUUUUUCCAUCUAUAUACAUAUAUGUUUUAAGAAAAAGAUAUAAAGAUUUCAAAGGCUCUCAUAUAAGUAUGAAUAAAUCUCUAAAAUUGAAAAGAUCGACAUCCGAAACUAGCAUCUAUAAGAAACAUGAUCCCACCAAUGGAUAUAAAAUUGACAUAUGCAACAAGAAUUUUAUCGAUUAAGAAAUAUGACCCGAUCACGGAUAUAAAGUGACUUUAGCACGAAUAUCUAUGAGCAAUAUUUUAAAAUAUGAUAUGAAAAUCCGACAAAAAUGAUUUACUCAUCAUGUUUAUGAAAUUUUAUGAUUUAUGCAUGCAUGAUUGUUUUUAUGACUUAUUUUAUUAUAUGCUCUAUGAAAUGAUUUAUGUUUAUAAUAUCUGUUAUUUUCUAAAUAUUGCACUAUCAUGAAAAAAAUUUAUACUUGAUCUGGUAAAGAAGCGUAGAUUCUACUUACUGAGCCAGUAUAGCUCAUAUAUUUUUAUUUUUUCUUUUACAGACGAAUAAGUUUAGCACCAACGAAAGAUUUAAGCUUGGAGAUCUGCGUAGCAAGCUUGAAAAUUUUGUAUUUGAAACUUAGUUUAUGGGAUGAUUAUGGAUUUGUAGCCAAUUAUUUAUGAAUUUUGAGAUGUGAAUUUGAUAUUUGAUUUUGGAUUUAGUCGCUUUAAACCAAUUUUGAUUUAAUUAUAUGAUGAAUGAUGGAAUUAAAUCUUUUACUAUAUGUUAUUUAUGAUGAAUUUUAGUUGAUUAUGAUUGUCAAGCUUCGUGUUAUCGAGGGCAGCAUCCUUCGGUAGCAUGACCGUGUUAUGUCCCAAAUUUUGGACGUGACAACUUGAAUCCAAAAUGAUCACUCUUAUCAAAUAUGGUUUCAAUAUGAAUCAUUUUAAGAUCUGGUCAAGACAUGAAUGGAAGCAACAUGAAGGUGGUGCAAGUAGUGUAGCAUUGAAACUGUCUACAGUUAAUCAAUUACCAACAAAUAUUACUCACUGGAAAUAGACUGCUGCUACUCUUUUUCUUUUCUUUUCUUUUUUUUCCUUUUUUUUGCAGAAGAGGCUAGUAGGUAAUAAGCCGCAAAACAGGAGCAAACAGAGCCAAAAAAAAAAAUUUUGUGUCAUAACCCCUAAAUUCAUUGAAGGCAAGAUUUGAGCCAAGUUUCUGGUACAUCUUCCAAGAAAUUUUAUCAACUUAUUGGGCAAGCAUAUUUGAUGAUCACAUUUGAGAGGGGAAAAGUUCUGUAACAAUCUUGAAAAAAAAUUUCAUAUCAAAUUCCUGCAAAAAAUUAACUUGAAAAACCAUGACUUUAUUGAAGAUUAGUUAAUAGUCUCUGAUUUUGACAAACGAUUCCACUACUCAAAGAUCUUCUAACUACAGAACUGCAAACGAAAUCAAAAACAAAACUGAACAUAGCAUAGGCACAUAAACACAAAAUGACACCAUACAAAAAAUUUUAAUUAGAUUCCUUUAAUGUGCUUAAAAUGCUACCUCGGCAUUGUAUGACCUGACCAGCUGUGCUUUCAAUCUCUUCCACCUUGCGGAUUUUGGGUUGUACAGUAGUAAAUCCCCUGGAGUCAUGAACUUAAGCAAAGAAAAAAAUUGACUUUAGAAAAUUACUAGAGAACCUAAUAUUAGCAAAAAAGCAACAGAGCAGAGAACCAAAUCAAAUCUUUAAGAAAGAGGAAGUAUCUGCAUAGGAAAAAAAAAAAAAACCAUACCAACCUAUCCAACAGUAUUACUUUUAAAAAUAAUCCCAAAGCAGAAAACUAAGUGGAGAUAUCAUUGAAGAAUUUAUAACAGAAAUAUAGAAGGCUACAAACCUUGGCAUCUUAUAACUCGACUACCUCUGCUCAUAAUCUUUUCCACCCUGUGGGUUGUGGGAUGCAAGACAGGAAAUACCCUAGGAUGAAUAACUACGAAAAAAAAAAUAGUAGUAACUUUAGAAAUUAACCAGAGGGCCUCUAAUAUUAAGAAAAGAGAACUCAACCAAAUACCAAGGAAGAUUCAAAAAACAGAGCAUAGGGACAUUAAAAAAAAAAGGAAGAUCAAACCAUCCCAUUCUAUCCAAAAUCUUAGGUUCCCAAAAUGAACCCAACAUGGUGGAUUUGAAAGGCUACAAACCUCCACAUCUCAUCAAAUGACCAGCUGCCAUCGCCAUCUCUGAGACUCCUCCUCAAAUGCCUCUGGAAAGAUCAGUUUAUAUGCAACAAAACAAUGGAACUUACCAUGGUGUAGAGAGAGAAAGAGGUAUUUAUAAACCCACAGAGAGAGUGUUCAAAGAAUGCCCACAGCUAAAGCGAGAGGGUUCCACUCGGUGGGCGGAGCCGGGAAUUGGUUGCGGUGUUCCUUGUCUAGCUUCUUGUUAGCCAGAGACGUUGAGUAAGACAACGGGUUUUGGAGGUAGUAGUUGUUAGUAAACAGGGUUUUGGUUGUCUUUAUUGGUAGGGCAAUAGAUUAAGGUGGAGAGGGAGGGAGAGAGAGAGAGAGUCCCAAGGGUGUCCAAAGACAAAGCGGAAGAGUGCAGAGAAUCUAGCGCCCCUUCGCUUUCCAUGGCUUGGUGGCCGACGCCGGAAUCGGUUACGGUGUUCCUUGUCUAGCUUCUUGUUAACCGGGUACGUUGAGUAAGCCAAUGGGUUUUUGGAGGGAGUAGAUAAGGUUCCGACUUCCGAGAUUAAGGUUCCGAGAGAUUGGAUCGAGAGUGGAGCUAAUCGGGGUUUGCCCAGCCACCAGAUUUGAGGCUUUUGGGUUUCAAUCCGUUGGAUGACCCUAGUCCACUGGUUCCGACAAGGAAUGGAAUCGAUUGAGAACUAGGGUUUGGGUCUAAGGGCGAUGGGACAUUGAAUUGUGUUUGGUUUCCAAACUAGGAUUAAUUUUUUAUUGGUUUCGAAUUUUUGAUGUAGGCUGAACACAUCUUGUAAUUUUUUUUUUUUUGGUAUAAUUGGAAUAAGGAGCAAGCUCCGAAAAAGAAAGAAAAAAAAAAGGAAAACAAUUCAACGGCAAGAAUAACUAAACUCCCAAAAAACCGCAUCCAUAUGUCUCAUCUCGAAGCAAAGUACCAAGCUGAAAGGGUCCUUCAUGUUAUCCAUAUGAGAGGAUUUAUUGUUCCUUUCUACAUCUAUUGAUCCUUUUUCCAUAUGUCUUAUCUAACUCCUGUUACCCAGCAGGAGCCUUAUAGAACUUGUGUGGAAACUUGUAAUCUCAUAUUACCAUGUCUUGACCAACCAGAAUUUUGUUGUCCUCCACUCCUCAAUACCGGUGGACUGGAACAUUUUGAUAAAGUUACUGCUUAAUGCCUUUAAAAAUAAGAAAAAAGUGUUACUGGCUUAGUGCUCAAAGGAAAAGGGAUCAAUAACACUUCGACUUUUUAUGGAAAUUAUCAUUAUAAUGGAGAGACAAUAGGCUUAUGGACUACCAAUGAGAGCAAUUCAGAAACAAAAGAGCUUUUCUGACAUUAGAUCUUUAUUAAAAAAAAAAAGACCUAAUAGUUAAACCCACAAAUGUCAAACAAACAAUUCAGUAAUAUAUAAUCAUAUUUUCCUUCACUUUUUGGUCAUACAAUAAACAUAAUGAACUUCACUUAGUGAUGCAGAAAGAUGAACAUUUAAAAUUUUCUGAAUGCUUUCUUAUUUUCAUCACCUGUAUAAAUCAUGAUUCUAUAUAGUUCUUAUUUAAGAAUGUCCUUAGCAAAACCCAAGAAAUGAUUUAAUCAAAAUUUCUUGAGACUCCUGUUCGUCGACAAAAACCAAGAAGGGGGAAUCGAUCCAGAGCUAAGCCUGGUUGAAGCUUAAACCCAAUCGAACAUAUGGGACUUGGAGAGACCAGGAAAGGAGAGGGCCUAAUAUGCAAAAAAAUAUACCUAUAAAUUUAUUAAUUUAUUUUAUUGAUGAACACUAGAUCUUGGCACUGUGACCUAUUGACAGAAAGAGUUCAGCCACCUUAUGAUGCUUCCUUACAUAAAUCCAUCUGCUCUGACUUGUCUUCAUGUGUGAUAAUCUUUGCCCAGUACGUUACAGGCAUGUUUGGUUGGGGUGAGUUGGACUCUAAAAUAAAAAUAGAAAUAAAUGACUUCCAUUUCAACAAUUUAGUUAGGAUGCCUUAAUCUUGUAAAAUCUAAUCCAAACUCUCACAUAGUAUUCAAAUCCCAUUCCAAUUCCAAUAAUGAACCAAAUGCUGGGAAUAUGACCAUUCUGAUUCCCGUUCCUAUCCAUUUUGAUUUCGAUUGCAAACCUAACACACCAUUCACUGUAUUGUGAAUAUGGAUUGGACAUUUAUUCUCCUCUAAGAGAAUCCUGGAGCAGUAAAGGCCUAAAGGGGAACUUCAAAUCAAAAGUGACACUAGAGAAACUUAUGGGCAACCAUCAACAGAAUAAUCCAGCAUAAGCCUCAUCAAGGCCUUCAAGUGCCACCAUAUUUCAUACAAAACAAACCAUACCAAAAAGCUUAGGUGGCAAACGAGGAAAGAUAUCUGACUUCUCAUAAUCUCGAGAAGAAGCGCACAUCACAUAGAAAAAAAAGACAAGCGAAGUACAGACAGGGAAUAUGUAACGCAAAUUUUAUUCAUCUAGCAGAAAAGAUGAGGACACAGCUCAUCUCACAGUCAAGCUCAGUUUCCUAUUUUAUUAUAAACACAAAGGCUAAGAUUCACAUGGCACAGGAAAUGCUUUAUUUUGUAACGAGUCUCUCUCCAGAGUGGCUUUACCAAGGUGUAAACCUGCUCUAACCAUCCAUGUGAAUGAUGCACCGAAGGCUUUCCCCCUUGAGCAUGUAAUCGAAGGCCUUGUUGAUCUCGGAGAAAGGUAAACUGUGGGUGAUGAACUUCUCCAAUUCUAGCUCCUACACCAUCAAUGCAACAUGGAAUAGUGAUGAUAAGAAUCCAAUUAGAGGUACAUUUCUUCUAAGAUUAACGACCGAAAAACACAAAUAUACUAUGCUGGAAUCUAAGAAUAAAUUUUGGUGCUUUGUUAGCUAAAACUAUGACCUCAAAGUCUCUAAUCCAUUAGGAGUACCGCUUUUAGCCAUCAGCACAAAUACAUUAAGAGAUUUUUUUUAUAGAAUGAUUAGGCAGAAACUAAUCACUUUUGUGAAGCAAAACAAAGCAGUACAAUUUGAUCAAGAGAAAUUGGAAUCAUUUG